GUCCCAUGAUGAGGACAGGUGGCUACAUACUCCUGUAGUCGUUCCCAUGCUUCCAGAAUGGACUCGUCCUUUGUCUUCUGGAAACUAGAAAUCCUUCCACGAAGGGC
rnacentral:snoRNA from 1 species